rnacentral:rRNA from 1 species
AGAGUUUGAUCAUGGCUCAGGACGAACGCUGGCGGCGUGCUUAACACGUGCAAGUCGAACGAGGUCCACGGUGUAGCAAUACACCUGAAGACCUAGUGGCGAACGGGUGCGUAACACGUGAGGAACUUGUCCCGGUCUCUGGGAUAACAGUUGGAAACGACUGCUAAUACCGGAUGACGUCGGAGCAUCGCAUGGUGCGCUGACGAAAGGGUUACUGGAUCGGGAGAGCCUCGCGGCCUAUCAGCUUGUUGGUGGGGUAACGGCCCACCAAGGCAUCGACGGGUAGCUGGUCUGAGAGGAUGAUCAGCCACACUGGGACUGAGACACGGCCCAGACUCCUACGGGAGGCAGCAGUGGGGAAUCUUGCGCAAUGGGCGAAAGCCUGACGCAGCAACGCCGCGUGCGGGAUGAAGGCUCUCGGGUUGUAAACCGCUUUCAGCAGGAACGAAAAUGACGGUACUGCAGAAGAA